UGGAUGAAUUAUAGAGAUGGAUUUCUCAUGGCUCUGUGCUGUCAUUGUCACACAGAGGCCCCUUACUGGACUUGGACCGAGUGGAUGGACAGGAAACCACCAACCAUGGUGGCCACCCAAACCAACUUUCACUGCCUUACUCUUGAAACCCCACUCUCUCCAUCUCCUGGCUGAAGAACCACAAGAGCUCUAAGGAGAGCAUCACAUCAGCAUAUGGAGGGCUUCUGGACAGCCAGAUGCAGCAAAAUGGAAAUCCACUGCAAAUUCUCUAGCAACUUAGUAUGUGGAGGUGAACACCAGCAAAUUGGGUGUCAAUGGCAUGCCCUAUGUCACCAUGCUCAGGGGAGAUGCUGCUGCUGGCCAGGAGCAUGGGGAUAGCAGGCCUGAGGCUCCACUUUACAGAACUCUACCAUCAUUAUAAAAGUUUUGGAGUAGCCUAUGAAAGACAGAACAUGUCAUCAGCUAGGAGACAAAAUCCUCUACAGUGAGCAGUUCUCCUGGAUAUAAACUUGGUGCUGGUUCAUUUAGCAUCUGUGAUGAACCAAUGUCUAAAAU
rnacentral:lncRNA from 1 species